rnacentral:lncRNA from 1 species
AUUACCUGCAAAAACGCAAAAAAAUGGACUUUUUUCAUAAAAUCGCAUUUUUCGGGUACUUGUACUAUCGCUGGAACCCUGAAAUUUUAGUAUGUGUUGUAAAACAAAAUUUCGGAUCCUUUAGAUGUUGUUUGAUCUUUUCACCAUGUACAGGGACGCCGCAAAUGAAUUAAACGCGAAAAUUCGAAUUGCUCAGAACCUAUUAAAGUUGGAAGAUUGUAAUUUUACACAAAUACUGGGGUUAUUAAAGUAUUUAAUCCCUGAGAAUAUAAAUGGUCCAGGUGCCACCACUAAAAAGUUAUUAAAUAAAAUGUGAUUUUUAGGUCGGACCUUCAUGGGUAAAGUUCAUUAUUGCUCGCCCUGUAUGGCUUACGAAAAUUUCGGUUAUAUAGCAUAUGAAAGGUAAAGGAUGAAGUUAUUUUUUGAAAAAAAAAAUUUUCCCAAAAUAAGUAUCGUUUGGCAGAAAAUUCCAAAAAACUGAAAAUGCCAGAACUCGUAAAAUAAAUUUUUUACAAAAAAAAGCUCCAAGUAUGUUAAAUCUCUUAUAAAACGAAGUCUUUUCGCCGAAACACUUUUUUUAUAAAAAUUUUUUUUUAGCCUCUGGAGAAGUUUCAAUUUUUUUUUUAGUCACUUUUGUUCGCUUAUAAUAACUCACCCUGUAUACCGAUCUGGCCCAAAAAGUAUACAGACACGUAAGCCCCAAGAACCCAUAUAUCCUGAAAAUUUCAGCUCGAUUAAACGCUUUAAAAUUGAGAUCUCGUGAGCAACUCGAUUUUUACCAAUUUUUUUACGAAUUUUUGAUUUUGAGACAGUACCGCUCCGUUUGGUGGUACCGGAAAAAAAAUUCGUUUACGGAUUCAUCAUUCCCAAUGUAUUGAGAGACUCUAUGCCAAAUUUCAUCAUUUCGCUAGCCAUACAGCCAAAGAUAUGAAUUUUUAUUUCCAAAAAAACACGAUUUUUCGGGCCCGAGGUGGCGUGCAUAAUAUAGUCGCAGACGCUCCUAUAUAACAAGUAUAGUCGCUUCGCUCCUAUACUUUUGGUCCGUGGGGACCAGUUUGGAACCUUUAGGUCUUGUCAGUGAUGGGCCUUAGAGGAUUUCUUAAAAAAAAUCGCAAAUUAUCAGGUGUACUUAGGUGAGGCUAACGUUUAUCUGCCAAGGAAAGAGAGGACCAGUUGUUGGGGUAUCAUGCUUCAAAGAACCAUAAUUUGUUAUAUAGUCGCGUUGUGUGUCAAUAUACUGUCUUAUAUUUCAAAUAUCUGUGAAAGUAUAUUAAUUGUAUUCUAAAUAAAGUCUGAAUACCAAAUUCGAACAGAAUCGGACCAAUAGCAAAAAAGUUACGGUAGUCACGUGACCUAGGCUGAAACUUAAAUGUCAGUUAUCUGUCAUAAUUUAUUAGUUGUAUCCUAAAUAAACCAUAAAUACCAAAUUCAGAGAGAAGUUCCCAUAAGGGUCUAUUUCUUGAAAUAGAACAAACAGGGAUUUUACGUCGAUUUGUUUUAAUUUUUCUUUUUAUUUUGAAAUGUAAUAGUAAUAAAAUAUCAAAAGAAUUGAGAGGAGGAGAAUAAGAAAUAAAAGAAACCAUCAAUGAAUUGAAUCGAAGCUAUAGAAGCCGAGAGAUUAGUAAAAAUGUGGGAAAAAACAAAAGAAAACUGGUUUUUUCCCACGGUAUCAUUUUUUUUUCUUAAAAUAAUUAUUGACAAAUUAUAAUGUAAGCCCUAAGUUGGCAAUUUCACGUAAAAAAAACCCAAGAAAAAAAAAAUUUUUUUUUGGUCGAAAAUCGAAAGGGGUAUAACCAUGAAAAAUUGCGAAAAAAUGGUUUUUAUUUUUUUUUAAAUAAAAUAUAACUCUGACAACUUUUUGUCUUAAACAAAAGUUUUCGGGAAUAUUACGAGGUAUCCGUGCGUUAAAACGAAUCGGUUCUAGCUAUUAUACAGUCGGAGAAAAUUGAAAAAAACUAUUAAACAUAAAUAUCGAAUUAUCAAGAGCCCUAUGGAAAAAUUUCAGUUUUUUAUUUUUCUAUCCUGUACUACUUCAGAGUAUCUUUAAAAAAGAUUAUUACCAAUUUGACUCUAAAAUGAACGGAAAACCUAUUUCUUUGCAUUUUUCGAUUUUCGAACAAAAUCCGGGGUCAAAAUGACCAUUUUUCCAAAAUAUGCUCCGAAUUCAAAAUUUCUUUUUUCUGGUUAAAGACCAUUUAAAAACUAAUAAAAAAGCUUUAUGACAAAAUUUUCCACGAUUUAUACGAGUGCCAUAAUAUAAAGGGAAAAAUUAGGUUCCAUAAGAGCCUAUGUACAGGGAUAAGACAACCGGGCUUUUACGUCGAUUUUUUUAAUUUUUCAGUUUUAUUUCGAAAGGCAGUUGUAAUAAAAUAUAAAAAGAAUUAACAGGAGGAGAAUAAGGAAUAAUAAAAACCAUCAACAAAUUGAAUCGAAGCUCUAGAAGUCGAGAUAUUAGUAAAACUGUGAAAAAAAAAUAAAAGAAAACUCGUUUUUUUCCACGGUAGCAUUUUUUUUCUUAAAAUGAUAACUGACAAAUUAUAAUGUAAGCCCUAAGUUGGCAAUAUCCAUUAAAAAAAACCCAAGAAAAAAAAAUUUUUUUUUGCUCCAAAAUCGAAAGGGGUAUAGCCAUGAAAAAUUGUGAUUAAAUGGUUUUUAUUUUUUUCUAACUAAACUAUAACUCUGACAACUUUUUGUCUUAAACAAAAGUUCUAGGGAAUAUUACGAGGUAUUCGAAUGUUAAAACUAAUUGAUUACAGCUAUCACAGAUUCGGAGAAAAUUGUAAAAAACUAUAAAUCAUAAAUAUCGAAUUAUCAAGAGCCCUAUGGAAAGAUUUCAUUUUUUUAUUUUUCUAUCUUGUACUACUUUAGGAUACCUUUCAAAAAGAUUAUUAUCGAUUUGACUCUAAAAUGAACAGAAAACCUAUUUCUUUGCAUUUUUCGAUUUUCGAACAAAAUCCGGCCCAAAAUGAAAAUUUUUUCAAAACAUGCUCCAAAUUCAAAAUUUCUUUUUUCUGGCUAAAGACCAUUCAAAAAGUAAUGAAAAAGCUUAAUGACAAAAAUUUUCAAAAUCUAUAAUAAUGCUACAAUAUUAUGAAAGAAGAUAAGUUCCCUUUAAAGCCUAUGUAUUCGAACCGAUGAUUUUUUUAUUUUUUUUUGAAAGGCAAAUUUAAGAAAUAAUUUAACUAAUUAAGAUAAAAGGAAUAGGGUAAUACGAAAUAUUAUCUAUAAAUAUAUACAUAUCAUCUAAUAGCAGAUUUUAAUCAAAUAGGAAAUUUUGAUAGUCACGUGACCCUAGAACUUAAUAUUUUAAAAUUUUGUAAAAAAUCAACAAUUGCAUCCUAAAUAAACCCCAAAUUCCAAAUUUGAACCCAAUCGGAUCAAUAGCAAAAAAGUUAUGGAAGUCACGUGACUUAAAAAAUUCAACAUGUCAAAUUUCUGUCAAAAUUUAUUACUUGCAUCCUAAAUAAAGCCCAAAUACUAAAUUUCAACCCAAUCGGAUCAAUAGCAAAAAAGUUAUGGAAGUCACGUGACUUAAAAAAUUCAACAUGUCAAAUUUCUGUCAAAAUUUAUUACUUGCAUCCUAAAUAAAGCCCAAAUACUAAAUUUCAACCCAAUCGGAACAAUAGCAAAUAAGUUAUGGAAGUCACGUGACUUAAACAUUCAAUAUGUCAAUUAUCUGUUAAAAUUUAUUAAUUGUAUCCUAAAUAAAGCAUAAAUACCAAAUUUGAACCCAAUCGGACUCAUAGCAAAAAAGUUACAAUAGUCACGUGACCUGGAAGUCAAAUGUCAAAUAUCUGUGAAAAAUUAAUAAUUGCAUCCUAAAUAAACCCCAAAUACCAAAUUUCAAUCAAAUCGGACAAAUAGGAAGAAAGUUAAGGUAGUCACGUGACCUUAAAACAUAGUCAUGUCAAAUAUCUGUAAAAAUUUAUUAAUCUUAUCCGAAAUAGGUACUAGGUACCAAAUUUCAACCAAAUCGCACCAAUACCAAAAAAGUUAUGAUACUCGACUAACCUUAAAAAUCAAUAAUUUCAAAAAAAUUUUAUUUAUAUCCCAAAAGCAAUGUUUAAGAAUUAUUAGCAUAUAUUAAUAAUAAACUAAAUAGUAAAAACUCACCUAAUAUCGAAAUUUUUAUUUUAAAUUAAAUAGAUCAUUACGACUGACCCGUGUAUAUAUUCGAAUAAUUUUAAUAAAAUAAUCGGGCAAAUUUCAUUUCGUCUCACCCCGGUAUAAAGACACUGACAUUUCAAAAAAACGGCAUUUUUCGAAGACGUCAAAAUGUUUGCCGAAUUUUCCUGGCCGCAAUACACAAUUUCCCCUAUUGAUAUGCACAGAUUCGGAAAGCCCAUUCAUUUUCUGAUUCGGUGCUUCCUUUCCCUGAUCGUUUCCGGUUCAUUUUCAUUCAUAAUUUUACAAAAAACCCAACCAAGUCCCGGCCACCUGUCACGAGCAAAAAAUUUGUAUCCACCAUGCGUCAAAGUAUUGUUCCCACCAGCCAUUUCAUCAGAGUUUAGGUUGACACCUCCAAUUACCUGCAAAAACGCAAAAAAAUGGACUUUUUUCAUAAAAUCGCAUUUUUCGGGUACUUGUACUAUCGCUGGAACCCUGAAAUUUUAGUAUGUGUUGUAAAACAAAAUUUCGGAUCUUUUAGAUGAUGUCUGAUCUUUUCACCAUGUACAGGGACGUGACAAAUGAAUUAAACGCGAAAAUUCGAAUUGCUCAGAACCUAUUAAAGUUGGAAGAUUGUAAUUUUACACAAAUAAUGGGGUUAUUAAAGUAUUUAAUCCCUGAGAAUAUAAAUGGUCCAGGUGCCACCACUAAAAAGUUAUUAAAUAAAAUGUGAUUUUCGGGUCGGACCUUCAUGGGUAAAGUUCAUUAUUGCUCGCCCUGUAUGGUUCCCAAAAAUUUCGGUUAUAUGGCAUAUGAAAGGUAAAAGAUGAAGUUAUUUUUUGAAAAAAAAAAAAUUCCCAAAAUAAGUAUCGUUUGGCAGAAAAUCCCAAAAAACUGAAAAUGCCAGAACUCGUAAAAUAAAUUUUUUACAAAAAAAAGCUCCAAGUAUGUUAAAUCUCUUAUAAAACGAAGUCUUUUCGCCGAAACACUUUUUUUAUAAAAAUUUUUUUUUAGCCUCUGGAGAAGUUUCAAUUUUUUUUUUAGUCACUUUUGUUCGCUUAUAACAACUCACCCUGUAUACCGAUCUGGCCCAAAAAGUAUACAGUUCUUAAGGCCCCACCGACCCUUAUGUCCUAAAAAUUUUAAGUCUUUUAAAGGCUUUUUAUUUGAGUUCUCGCGUCUGAAAGGAAUUUGACCCAUUUUUUUACGAAUUUUUGACUUUGAGACAGUACCGCUCCGUUUGGUGGUACCGGAAAAAAAAAUCGUUUACGGAUCCAUCAUUCUCAAUGUAUUGAGAGGCCCUAUGCCAAAUUUCAUCGUUUCGCUAACCAUACAGCCAAAGAUAUGAAUUUUUAUUUCCAAAAAAACACGAUUUUUCGGGCCCGGGCUCGCGUGCAUAAUAUAGUCGCAGACGCUCCUAUA